rnacentral:rRNA from 1 species
AUGAGGCGGCCAGAUGCGCUCAAAUCCGGCAGCCCGACUGGACAACUACACGGCCGAGACAAAGGCCGGGGUCGUAGGAGUGGAAGUGAGCGGCGGGAGGAUGAGGGAGUGCGCAGGCCAGGGGGUGGCCAAGAAAAUGGCAGCCGCGGCGAUAGAGGGGUAGGGUUUGAAGGGUUUGGGGGCUGGCUGGGGGAAGGGAUAAAAAGGGCACCUGUAUCCCUGACGGGCGGUCCAGGGAAGGACAUGGGCACACGUCGCGCCUGCCCGUAUGUGUCCGUUUCGACACAAACGCGGCCCAAAGUUGGGCCGGGAAUGGUUCAAAAGUGGACGAAAAACGGACGUUCGUCCGUUUGCUGCGUUUUGUGUCUGUUUACCCCAAAAUGGACGCGGCCGUACGAUUUGGGGCCGUGCACUGGAGUUUCCCUAAGGGCAUCUUGA